CACGAUCUGACUCCUAUAAGGGCCAUAUUCAAAAAGUGGUGAUUGCAUCCUUUGAAAGCCUGUUUGCAUAGCAGACAAUGAAGCUGAGCAGAGAAAAACAAGAUGAGAGACAGAUGGAGUAGGAGACCUGAGAAGAUGGCUUGAGUCCAUGAAUUCUGGUGUUCCCUAGGCCACAUUUGCCCCCAUCCUUCCCAGCAGACACUUGAAGAAGCAUCUUUCUUGUGAUCUCCUGGCUGGUACCCUGAAGUCCUGUUAUGCCAAUGGACCAGCAACCCUCGCAGGUAGGAAUUACUGCUAGAAAGACUAUCCUCUCUGCAGGCAAAUUUCUGGAAGGAUACUAUUUUAUGGGGAAAAAUGUGAACAACUGUAGGUAAUUUCACAGUCUGUAGGGCUUGUCUCCUAUUUGUAAUUUCUUACAUGUUUACUCGUGGUGGAAAUGUGGAGGUGGCUAAGGAACAAGCAGGCCCGCUGUGUUUCAGUGGCUUUCAGAGAAGGUGGCGGGAAAUAGUCUCUUCUCAGCAGCAGCUGAAUCCCAGUGUUAGCAGACGGAGCCUUGUUUCUUGAAAGUACAUUCCCAGGGAUUCCCUUGAAGAAUGUGAGAGAUCAGCUGGAAUGAAACUGGAUGUUUUAGGGUCCUGAGGGAAAUGUAAAUCCAGCAGCUUAUUCUCAAGAUGUGGCUCCAGAACCAGCAGCACUGAUUCUUCUAAAGAGUUGAGAGUGCAUUUUAGCUGUGAUAUCUUUGUACUCUUAAGAAAUCCUCCUCAACAAGACAAAACUUGACCAAGAGCAUUCAGUUGUCUUCCAGAAGGCUCCCUUGAGGACUGGGACUCUUCCUGGAUGCACCCAAUUAAUCUAUUGAAACAAGGACUCGUGAUGGCAGCCCCUCACCUGACAAACUGGAUUUUCCCCAGAGAUCAUUUGUAAUGUUUUUCCUGAAUCUUAUUUGUGUUUCCCUAUUAGCAAUGUUAUGUAUUUCUAUAUCGCAAAUCCUAAGUGCCGCCUGUAGAACCUAACCUCCAUUUAUAGCAUGGAACACACAGCCCAUCACGUAUCCUUGCCCUGGCCUUCAGCCUCUGAAUAUUUUAAUAAAAAUCACUCUUUCCUCCUUAAGGACCAUGUUCUUUAAAAGCUUAACACAUAGUUCUUAAUAAUUGGUUGCUUUACUUGAUGUUUCUCUGUUUAUCUUGGCUGCCCAGAAGCUCAGACUUAAAUGUAAGAGUCUACUUACAGUAACAACCUUGUUGCGGAUACAAUUAAUUCUCC
rnacentral:lncRNA from 1 species